CUACCUAGUGACCGAUAGCGUAUAGUACCGUGAGGGAAAGGUGAAAAGAACCCCGUGAGGGGAGUGAAAUAGAACCUGAAACCCUGCACUUACAAGCUGUGGAAGCACAUUUCUUGUGUGACCGCGUACUUUUUGUAGAACGGGCCAACGAGUUACGUUAAGUAGCAAGGUUAAGCACUUAAGGUGUGGAGCCGUAGCGAAAGCGAGUUUUAACUGAGCGUUCAGUUACUUGACGUAGACCCGAAACCGGGCGACCUACCCAUGAGCAGGAUGAAGCGAAAGUAAAAUUUCGUGGAGGUCCGAACCCACGAGCGUUGAAAAGCUCGGGGAUGACUUGUGGGUAGCGGUGAAAUUCCAAUCGAGCCCGGAGAUAGCUGGUUCUCCCCGAAAUAGCUUUAGGGCUAGCCUCAAGGUGAGAGAUACGGAGGUAGAGCACUGAAUGUCCUAGGGGGUAUUGCACCUACCGAAGACUAUCAAACUCCGAAUGCCGUCAUCUUAUACUUGGGAGUCAGACUGUGGGUGAUAAGAUUCAUAGUCGAAAGGGCAACAGCCCAGAUCGUCAGCUAAGGUCCCUAAAUGUAAGUUAAGUGGUAAAGGAUGUGGGAUUGCACAGACAACCAGGAUGUUGGCUUAGAAGCAGCCACUCAUUCAAAGAGUGCGUAAUAGCUCACUGGUCGAGUGAUCCUGCGCCGAAGAUUUCCGGGGCUAAAACUUACUACCGAAGCUACGGCAUCAGUAAUGAUGGGUAGGGGAGCUUCCCAUACGGGUUGAAGCAUGACCGUAAGGACAUGUGGACAGUAUGGGAGUGAGAAUGUUGGCAUGAGUAGCGAGAUGUGGGUGAGAAUCCCACAGGCCGUAAACCCAAGGUUUCCAGGGGAAGGUUCGUCCGCCCUGGGUUAGUCGGGACCUAAGCUGAGGCCGAAAGGCGUAGGUGAUGGACAACAGGUUGAUAUUCCUGUACUACCGAUAACCGUUUGAGAGAAGGGAUGACACAGUAGGAUAAGCUAAGCACACUGUUGGUUAUGUGUGCCCAAGCAUUGAGGCAGUCAAAGUAGGCAAAUCCGCUUUGAUAAUGCUGGGAUGUGAUGGGGAGCGAAAUUUAGUAGCGAAGUAGCUGAUUUCACACUGUCAAGAAAAGUCUCUAUCGAGGUUAAAGGUACCCGUACCGCAAACCGACACAGGUGGGUGAGGAGAGUAUCCUAAGGCCAGCGAGAGAACUGUUGUUAAGGAACUCGGCAAAAUGACCCCGUAACUUAGGGAUAAGGGGUGCCACCAUCAGGUGGCCGCAGAGAAUAGGCCCAAGCGACUGUUUACCAAAAACAUAGGUUUCUGCUAAGUCGCAAGACGAUGUAUAGGAGCUGACGCCUGCCCGGUGCUGGAAGGUUAAGGGGAUCUGUUAGAGCAAUCGAAGCAGUGAACUUAAGCCCCAGUAAACGGCGGCCGUAACUAUAACGGUCCUAAGGUAGCGAAAUUCCUUGUCGGGUAAGUUCCGACCCGCACGAAAGGCGUAACGAUUUGGGCACUGUCUCAACAACAGACUCGGUGAAAUUGUAAUUCCGGUGAAGAUGCCGGAUACCUGCGACAGGACGGAAAGACCCCAUGGAGCUUUACUGUAGCUUGACAUUGGGUCUUGGUACUACAUGUACAGGAUAGGUGGGAGGCUUUGAAACCAGGACGCCAGUUUUGGCGGAGCCAUCCUUGGGAUACCACCCUUGUAGUACUGGGACUCUAACCAUAGGCCAUGAAUCUGGUCUUGGGACACUGUCAGGUGGGCAGUUUGACUGGGGCGGUCGCCUCCCAAAAGGUAACGGAGGCGCUCAAAGGUUCUCUCAGUACGGUCGGAAAUCGUACGUAGAGUGUAAAGGCAAAAGAGAGCUUGAUUGCAAGACAUACAGGUCGAGCAAGGAUGAAAAUCGGACUUAGUGAUCCGGUGGUUCUGCGUGGAAGGGCCAUCGCUCAACGGAUAAAAGCUACCCUGGGGAUAACAGGCUUAUCUCCCCCAAGAGUCCACAUCGACGGGGAGGUUUGGCACCUCGAUGUCGGCUCAUCACAUCCUGGGGCUGUAGUAGGUCCCAAGGGUUGGGCUGUUCGCCCAUUAAAGUGGUACGCGAGCUGGGUUCAGAACGUCGUGAGACAGUUCGGUCCCUAUCCGUCGCAGGCGUAGGAAAUUUGAGAAGACCUGUCCUUAGUACGAGAGGACCGGGAUGGACGUACCUCUGGUGUACCAGUUGUCCUGCCAAGGGCAUGGCUGGGUAGCUAUGUACGGAAUGGAUAAGCGCUGAAAGCAUCUAAGCGCGAAGCCAACUUCAAGAUAAGAUUUCCCACCGCAAGGGUAAGACCCCAGAAAGACUAUCUGGUUGA
rnacentral:rRNA from 1 species